AGGCUACAAAAGUUUUUAUUUUUCACUUUUCACAACUACGCUUUGUUUUUUCUCUCGAUCGAAAACAAUAAAAAGAAGAAAACCCCUAAUCAAGUGUUUAGUUGCUUACUGCUGUCCCUCAGUGAAAAUUUUCAAGCUUCGCCACUGAUCAUCGGACCACUGUCAUGCGUCGGUAGCAGGGUUAUCCAUGGUCUCCGGUGGUCCGGAUGGUGACCAAAACGACGAGUCCCACAUGGUCCGAAGCCUCAAGUGGAUGGUGCAAUGUUGACGGUGUUGUCCUUCCUGGUCGCCGUCGAAAUGGCCAGUGGUGGCGUUGGGGUGAUGCAAUCAUGCAACUAUCUUUCUUGAUGGAGGUGGGUGUGAUCACACGAGUGGGCUAAGGUUAUGACUAUAACUGGUGGUGAUAAAUGUCUUCUAUGUUUUUUGAGAGAGAAAAAAUGUCUGUAUGCGUGUCAUGUGUGUGUGAAUAUGGUGGUAGUAUCUGGUAUAAUGGUAUG